rnacentral:rRNA from 1 species
GACGAACGCUGGCGGCGUGCUUAACACAUGCAAGUCGAACGGUAAGGCCUUUCGGGGUACACGAGUGGCGAACGGGUGAGUAACACGUGGGUGAUCUGCCCUGCACUUCGGGAUAAGCCUGGGAAACUGGGUCUAAUACCGGAUAGGACCAUACGCUUCACGGUGUGUGGUGGAAAGCUUUUGCGGUGUGGGAUGGGCCCGCGGCCUAUCAGCUUGUUGGUGGGGUUAUGGCCUACCAAGGCGACGACGGGUAGCCGGCCUGAGAGGGUGACCGGCCACACUGGGACUGAGAUACGGCCCAGACUCCUACGGGAGGCAGCAGUGGGGAAUAUUGCACAAUGGGCGCAAGCCUGAUGCAGCGACGCCGCGUGAGGGAUGACGGCCUUCAGGUUGUAAACCUCUUUCAGUAGGGACGAAGCGCAAGUGACGGUACCUACAGAAGAAGGACCGGCCAACUACGUGCCAGCAGCCGCCGCCG